rnacentral:rRNA from 1 species
ACUCAAAUGAAUAGACGGGGGCCCGCACAAGCGGUGGAGAAUGUGGUUCAAUUCGAUGCAACGCGAAAAACCUUACCUGGGCUAGAAUUCAUGGUGAAGAUGCUAGAAAUAGUAUCGUCCUUCGGGACGCCAUGAAAGGUGCUGCAUGGCUGUCGUCAGCUCGUGUCGUGAGAUGUCGGGUUAAGUCCCAUAACGAGCGCAACCCUUGUCUUUAGUUGCCAGCAUUAAGUUGGGCACUCUAAAGAGACUGCCGACGUUAAGUCGGAGGAAGGUGGGGAUGACGUCAAGUCCUCAUGGCCUUUAUGUCCAGGGCUACACACGUUCUACAAUGGUCAGUACAAAGGGUCGCAAAACUGCAAAGUGGAGCUAAUCCCAAAAAACUGAUCUAAGUUCGGAUUGGAGUCUGCAACUCGACUCCAUGAAGCUGGAAUCGCUAGUAAUCGUGGAUCAGCACGCCACGGUGAAUACGUUCCCGGGCCUUGUACACACCGCCCGU